rnacentral:lncRNA from 1 species
UAUUUAUCUUUCUUCUUCCUUGAUACUGAACUAUUUUAUGAGUGAUUUGUUUUUGGUCCUAUUUUGAUUUUGCAGCUUUCGCUUUCUUAGUUUCCUGUUAUGAUUUACAUUUAUCCCCAUUUCUGGGACAUCAUGGAGGCAGACCAGGGACUUACUUGAAGGAGAAAAACAUGGGAGAUUUCCGAUUAUUCGUCCCUAGCAAAAAUUUGGGGUGUUCCUUUUCCCCAGCUAGUAUUAUAUAUCCAGCCAAGUUUUUGU